rnacentral:rRNA from 1 species
AUUGAACGCUGGCGGCAGGCCUAACACAUGCAAGUCGAGCGGAGCGGCGGACGGGCGGGUGAGGCAUAGGAAUCUGCCUGGUAGCUGGGGAUAACGUCCGGCAACGGGCGCUAAUACCGCAUCCUACUAGAUGAGCCUAGGUGGGACUACCUAGUUGGUGGGGUAAAGGCCUAACAAGGCGACGAUCCGUAACUGGUCUGCAAGGGUGACCAGUCACACUGGAACUGGGACACGGUCCAGACUCCUACGGGAGGCAGCAGUGGGGAAUAUUGUACAAUGGGCGAAAGCCUGAUCCAGCCAUGCCGCGUGUGUGAAGAAGGUCUUCGGAUUGUAAAGCACUUUAAGUUGGGAGGCGUUACCAACAGAAUAAGCACCGGCUAACUUCGUGCCAGCAGCCGCGGUAAUUC